rnacentral:rRNA from 1 species
UACGAAGGGGGCUAGCGUUGCUCGGAAUGACUGGGCGUAAAGGGCGCGUAGGCGGAUGGCACAGUCAGAUGUGAAAUUCCCGGGCUUAACCUGGGGGCUGCAUUUGAUACGUGUUGUCUUGAGUUCGGAAGAGGGUCGUGGAAUUCCCAGUGUAGAGGUGAAAUUCGUAGAUAUUGGGAAGAACACCGGUGGCGAAGGCGGCUCACUGGCUCGUAACUGACGCUCAUGCACGACAGCGUGGGGAUUAAACAGG